rnacentral:rRNA from 1 species
UACGAAGGGGGCUAGCGUUGUUCGGAUUAACUGGGCGUAAAGGGCGCGUAGGCGGGACUUUAAGUCAGGGGUGAAAUCCCAAGGCUCAACCUUGGAACUGCCUUUGAUACUGGAGAUCUUGAGUCCGGGAGAGGUGAGUGGAACUGCGAGUGUAGAGGUGAAAUUCGUAGAUAUUCGCAAGAACACCAGUGGCGAAGGCGGCUCACUGGCCCGGUACUGACGCUGAGGCGCGAAAGCGUGGGGAGCAAACAGG